rnacentral:rRNA from 1 species
UUGGUUAAAUUUCCUAAUUUAACCAAAACUAGAGUAAAAGUUUUAUUCUAGUUUUUUACUUGGUUAUUAAUUGUUUAUAUAUGAAUUUUUUUUAAAUAGUUGUUAUUAUAAUAGUUAGAUUUAAUUAAUUAAGGAAACUUAGAAUUAGGGUUGAUAAAGAGUUUGGUUAAAUUUGUGCCAGCAUCCGCGGUUAUACAAUUAAAUAGUAAAGUUUUUUAGGAUUAGUUAGGGGUUUGUAGUAAUAAAAUGAAUAAUUUAAGGUGAAAUUUGAUUAACUGUUUUAUACUUUUUAUUGAGGCUAUAAAAUUAUUUGAAUGACUAGGAUUAGAUACCCUAUUAAUUUAAAAAUGUAAAUUUU